rnacentral:rRNA from 1 species
AGGAAAAGAAACCAACAGGGAUUGCCCCAGUAACGGCGAGUGAAGCGGCAACAGCUCAAAUUUGAAAUCUGGCCCCCCGGGGCCCGAGUUGUAAUUUGUAGAGGAUGCUUUUGGCGAGGCGCCUUCCGAGUUCCCUGGAACGGGACGCCACAGAGGGUGAGAGCCCCGUCUGGUUGGAUGCCGAGCCUCUGUAAAGCUCCUUCGACGAGUCGAGUAGUUUGGGAAUGCUGCUCUAAAUGGGAGGUAUAUGUCUUCUAAAGCUAAAUAUUGGCCAGAGACCGAUAGCGCACAAGUAGAGUGAUCGAAAGAUGAAAAGCACUUUGAAAAGAGGGUUAAAUAGUACGUGAAAUUGUUGAAAGGGAAGCGCUCAUGACCAGACUUGGGCCCGGUGAAUCAUCCAGCGUUCUCGCUGGUGCACUUUGCCGGGCACAGGCCAGCAUCAGUUUGCCCCGGGGGACAAAGGCUCUGGGAAUGUGGCUCCUCCGGGAGUGUUAUAGCCCUCUGCGCAAUGCCCUGGGGCGGACUGAGGUUCGCGCAUCUGCAAGGAUGCUGGCGUAAUGGUCAUCAGCGACC